rnacentral:rRNA from 1 species
GACGAACGCUGGCGGCGUGCUUAACACAUGCAAGUCGAACGGAAAGGCCCUGCUUUUGUGGGGUGCUCGAGUGGCGAAAGGGUGAGUAACACGUGAGUAACCUGCCCUUGACUUUGGGAUAACUUCAGGAAACUGGGGAUAAUACCGGAUAGGAGCUCCUGCUGCAUGGUGGGGGUUGGAAAGUUUCGGCGGUUGGGGAUGGACUCGCGGCUUAUCAGCUUGUUGGUGGGGUAGUGGCUUACCAAGGCUUUGACGGGUAGCCGGCCUGAGAGGGUGACCGGCCACAUUGGGACUGAGAUACGGCCCAGACUCCUACGGGAGGCAGCAGUGGGGAAUAUUGCACAAUGGGCGGAAGCCUGAUGCAGCAACGCCGCGUGCGUGAUGACGGCCUUCGGGUUGUAAACCGCUUUCGCCUGUGACGAAGCGUGAGUGACGGUAAUGGGUAAAGAAGCACCGGCUAACUACGUG